rnacentral:lncRNA from 1 species
UGACAGCCACUGCAACCCAGUGCAUUUCCCUGAUAUGCACCAUGGAUGCCCUCUUCGGCUCUUCCCUGCAGCAGUGAGUGGGCAGCUCAUGCUGACCCAGGCUCCACCUCCUGCAGGCCUUUCCAGGAGAGUCUCAGCCUCCUGUGCAGCCAGCACACAUGCACAUGGAAGAGAAUGUGGACCCUUGUGAACUUGGGCACAGAUUCAAACAGCUCCUGUGUCACCUCUGUGUCUUUGCUUUAGAUGUCCAUCCCAGCUCAGCAUCAAGGGAAAUGGAGCCAGCUGUGCCUUCAGCAUCCACACCCUGGCAGCUGGGGAUCAGUGUUCUCUCUGCUGAAUACAGGCUGAGAGGUCUGGCUCCAGUACCAUGGGCUGAGCACACACCUGCUGCCUUUCCAGGGGCCUGAACUACAGGGAGCCUUGCUAGAAAGCAGAACAGGCAGAGCCAAUUCCAACAAACUCUGUUCAAGCUUGAAAGUCCUUCAACUAUUUUCUGGCUUUAUUGGCAGUCCCUGCUGGGGCUCUCCGCCACCCCUCACCCCCUACACACACACUGUACCUGCACAUGUGCUGUCCCCCCAGGCACACCUGCACUCAUUCUGCUCUCUGAGGCUGGGGAGGCAGCUGUUCUGCACACAAGGCAGACAAAGGGCCUGAGCUGACCAUUCCCAGGACAGUCCCAGUGGGUGAUGAAGGAGAGGAAUGCUCCCCAGUCCCUCAGCUCAGCUGGAGUCACCAGGGGCAUUUUCUCUGUUUCCAUGUGAGCAGGAGCUGCCACCAUCCUCAGCAGUGUUACUGCAUGGACUUCCUGUCCUGGGACACAACCUAGGAGAGAAACAGAUCCUAUUCCGGCAGGACAUCCCUGGUCCAAGAUCUCACCACACCUCCUUUAGGAAUAAACAGGAAUAUUAAGAAAAUUCCAGAAACAUUUAUUUUCCUUUACCAAUGUCUCCACCCUGGAACCCUGGGGCCCCCCUGCAUCACACAUGAUACCCUCCUUCAGUGUGCCCUGGAUCACCAGCUUCACACAUCAUGGUUUGACAACAUCUCAGGCAAGCUGUGCAUUGACUUUUAUCAGACAUGAUGAACUUGGAGGGGGAGUAGGAGCAUGGCCGUGAUGGAACCCUCUAGUGAGGGUGUGGCAGGAGCACAUCAGAAAUGGGACACAUUGCUGCCACUAAAUAACAGACUGACGAUGUGGAAACAGAGGGGGAAAUGUUCCUCAAAUCUCAAAACAGCAAUACUUUCCCCUGACACUGGAGGUCAAAUUGAAGAUGAAGACAGCUGUCCAUGAAGGCUCUAGAGACAGAUCAUAAGCCAUCUUUGUUAAAGGGGGAAGGAGAGAAUGAAACUCUCAGUUGUGUGGAUUUACACCUUGUUAUUUGAUCACUUUUAAAUGUAUGUCCUCGUAGGUUGACUUUGCUUUUUAUCCAAUUUUAUAUUAGACUUAUCAACUAAUAAUUGGCUUUUGAUUUGAGUUACAAUUGUUUUGUCUUCUUUGGUUAUUUUGUGUUUUCCCCUUUUUUUGACUUUCAAUGCUUAGUUUUCUUGUUGAACAGACAUAGAGCCCUAUCCCUAAGGUGAUAUGUAUUUCCCAUAAAAACACUGUAAGCAAGUACAUGUGCACCCUUUUACCCUUUCCUAGCUCUUGUAAACUGAUGGGUAUACAAACUCAUAUGUGAAUAUAUUGUUUGCUGGAAUAUAUUUUCUGAGUUACUUAGCAGUAAUUGGCUGGUGAAUAUAUGUUGCAAACAUUACUUAACAUCAUAUAAAGCUGAAAAGUCAGUAAAAUGUCUUCAUACUCACUCCGUGUCUCAUUGCUGAGAGAACAAGUUGCCCUCUCCUCUCUUUCCAUCCCUUCUCACUGUCUCCUUGUAGUGCUGGACAGUGCUUGGUCUAUGGAUUUGCAUAGAGAAAUUCUUUCAGAUUGCCAUUAUCCCACAUGCCCCUAACUUGCUCAAAGAUGGGAUGGAGAUGCAAAGUCCAUUUAUAAUGCAUUACUGUG